rnacentral:rRNA from 1 species
UACGUAGGUGGCAAGCGUUGUCCGGAUUUAUUGGGUUUAAAGGGUGCGUAGGCGGCUUUGUAAGUCAGUGGUGAAAUAUGGCAGCUUAACUGUCAAGGUGCCAUUGAUACUGCGGAGCUUGAGUACAGAUGAGGUAGGCGGAAUUGACGGUGUAGCGGUGAAAUGCUUAGAUAUCGUCAAGAACACCUAUAGCGAAGGCAGCUUACUAGGCUGUAACUGACGCUGAGGCACGAAAGCGUGGGGAGCGAACAGG